ACUCGCUCUCUUGCGGUCACUCGACUAGCUCUCUCGCAGUCACUCGACCGUUAUGUCGUCACUCGGUGGUCACUUGCGGUCAAUCGACUCGCGGUCACUCGACUCGCUCUCUUGCAGUCGAGUCACUCGCGGUCACUCGACUCGCUCUCUUGCGGUCACUCGACUCGCUCUCUCACAUUCACUCGAUCUUUCUGUCGUCACUCGACCAUACUGUCGUCACUCGGCGGUUACUCGUGGUCACUCGAAUCGCUCUCUCACGGUCACUCGACUCGCUCUCUCUCAGUCGAGUCACUCGCGGUCACUCAACUCGCUCUCUCACUGUCACUCGA
rnacentral:lncRNA from 1 species